rnacentral:rRNA from 1 species
UACGUAGGGGGCUAGCGUUGUCCGGAAUCAUUGGGCGUAAAGCGCGUGUAGGCGGCUCGGCAAGUCGGGUGUGAAAGCCCUGGGCUUAACCUAGGAAGUGCACUCGAAACUGCCAAGCUUGAGUUCUGGAGAGGAAGGCGGAAUUCUCGGUGUAGAGGUGAAAUUCGUAGAUAUCGAGAGGAACACCGGUGGCGAAGGCGGCCUUCUGGACAGCAACUGACGCUGAGACGCGAAAGCGUGGGGAGCAAACAGG